CGGACAGAGCUGGCGUAUCUGGCCUGCAUUCAGCCGCUGCGCGUCGGGCCCCGGUUUGCCGCACUCCAGAUUGGGAAGGUGGCUGGGCUGCUGGCGUGCUGGUGGUGCAUUUGCAGGUGGAGUGCGCCGAGGCGCCCGGUUCAGCGGCAUGAGCUCGGCUUUGAGGCCAGUCGCGCAAGCGGUCUGGUACCCGGGUCGGGGGAGUGUUGUUUGGGCUGGGUGUUCGCUGGGGCACAGGUUUCGGGCCUGGGUGGGUGCCGAGCUGGCGGUCGGCGGCGGUCGCGUGCGACACGUGCCAGCAGUCAGUUCGGUCCUGCUCGAGCUCUCUCGUGUCCGGCCUCGGUGUAAAAGCCGGUCAUCUGUCCGACCCGUCUUGAAACACGGACCAAGGAGUUUAGCGUGUGCGCGAGUCAUUGGGUGUUGAAAACCCAGAGGCGUAAUGAAAGUGAAGGUCUGCCUUGUGCAGCUGAUGUGUGAUCCUGGGCACCGCGGUGCCCGGGCGCAACAUAGUCCCGUCCCGACUGCUUGCAGUGGGGCGGAGACAGA
rnacentral:rRNA from 1 species